AUCUAGUUGAUGAGUCCCAAAUAGGACGAAACGCCCGUCAAACUGGAU
rnacentral:hammerhead_ribozyme from 1 species